rfam:Chelonia mydas contig112009, whole genome shotgun sequence.
GGUACCAUGGCUUAGAUGGCUAAAGCACCUACCUAGUAAACAGGAUAUCCUGGCUUCAACUCCCAGUGGUGCCU